AACGAACGCUGGCGGCAGGCUUAACACAUGCAAGUCGAACGCCCCGCAAGGGGAGUGGCAGACGGGUGAGUAACGCGUGGGAACAUACCCUUUCCUGCGGAAUAGCUCCGGGAAACUGGAAUUAAUACCGCAUACGCCCUACGGGGGAAAGAUUUAUCGGGGAAGGAUUGGCCCGCGUUGGAUCAGCUAGUUGGUGGGGUAAAGGCCUACCAAGGCGACGAUCCAUAGCUGGUCUGAGAGGAUGAUCAGUCACAUUGGGACUGAGACACGGCCCAAACUCCUGCGGGAGGCAGCAGUGGGGAAUAUUGGACAAUGGGCGCAAGCCUGAUCCAGCCAUGCCGCGUGAGUGAUGAAGGCCUUAGGGUUGUAAAGCUCUUUCACCGGAGAAGAUAAUGACGGUAUCCGGAGAAGAAGCCCCGGCUAACUUCGUGCCAGCCGCCGCCGUAA
rnacentral:rRNA from 1 species